GCCAGGUGCAGUGGCACGUGCCUGUAGUCCCAGCUACUCGGGAGGCUGAGGUGGGAGGAUCGUUUGAGCCCAGGAGUUCUGGGCUGUAGUGCGCUAUGCCAAUCGGGUGUCCGCACUAAGUUCGGCAUCAAUAUGGUGACCUCCCAGGAGCAGGGGACCACAGGUUGCCUACGGAGGGGUGAACCGGCCCAGGUCGGAAAUGGAGCAGGUCAAAACUCCUGUGCUGAUCAAUAGUGGGAUUGCGCCUGUGAAUAGCCACUGCACUCCAGCCUGAGCAACAUAGCAAGACCCUGUCACU
rnacentral:SRP_RNA from 1 species